AUACCAAGGCGCUUGAGAGAACUCGGGUGAAGGAACUAGGCAAAAUGGUGCCGUAACUUCGGGAGAAGGCACGCCGAUGAAGGUGAAGGACUAGCUCCGUAAGCUUUUGUCGGUCGAAGAUACCAGGUGGCUGCGACUGUUUAUUAAAAACACAGCACUCUGCAAACACGAAAGUGGACGUAUAGGGUGUGACGCCUGCCCGGUGCCGGAAGGUUAAUUGAUGGGGUUAUCUUCGGAGAAGCUCUUGAUCGAAGCCCCGGUAAACGGCGGCCGUAACUAUAACGGUCCUAAGGUAGCGAAAUUCCUUGUCGGGUAAGUUCCGACCUGCACGAAUGGCGUAACGAUGGCCACACUGUCUCCACCCGAGACUCAGUGAAAUUGAACUCGCUGUGAAGAUGCAGCGUACCCGCGGCUAGACGGAAAGACCCCGUGAACCUUUACUAUAGCUUCACAGUGGACUUUGAAUUUGUUUGUGUAGGAUAGGUGGGAGGCUUAGAAGCGUGGACGCUAGUCUGCGUGGAGCCAACCUUGAAAUACCACCCUGGCAACUUUGAGGUUCUAACUUAGAUCCAUUAUCUGGAUUGAGGACAUUGUGUGGUGGGUAGUUUGACUGGGGCGGUCUCCUCCCAAAGAGUAACGGAGGAGCACGAAGGUACCCUCAGGCUGGUCGGAAAUCAGCCAAUGAGCGCAAGAGUAGAAGGGUGCUUGACUGCGAGACAGACACGUCGAGCAGGUGCGAAAGCAGGUUCUAGUGAUCCGGUGGUUCUGAAUGGAAGGGCCAUCGCUCAACGGAUAAAAGGUACUCCGGGGAUAACAGGCUGAUACCGCCCAAGAGUUCACAUCGACGGCGGUGUUUGGCACCUCGAUGUCGGCUCAUCACAUCCUGGGGCUGAAGCCGGUCCCAAGGGUAUGGCUGUUCGCCAUUUAAAGUGGUACGCGAGCUGGGUUUAGAACGUCGUGAGACAGUUCGGUCCCUAUCUGCCGUGGGCGUUUGAGAUUUGAGAAGAGUUGCUCCUAGUACGAGAGGACCGGAGUGAACGAACCUCUGGUGUUCCGGUUGUCACGCCAGUGGCAUUGCCGGGUAGCUACGUUCGGACAGGAUAACCGCUGAAAGCAUCUAAGCGGGAAGCCCCCUUCAAGAUGAGAUCUCACUGGGCCCUUGAGGCCCCUAAAGAGUCGUCCGAGACCAGGACGUUGAUAGGCAGGGUGUGUAAGCGUUGUAAGGCGUUGAGCUAACCUGUACUAAUGGCUCGUGAGGCUUGACCAUAUAACGCCCAAGGCGUUUGG
rnacentral:rRNA from 1 species